CAGUAGCCGCGGUAACACGAAGGGGGCUGGCGUUGCUCGGAAUCACUGGGCGUAAAGGGUGCGUAGGCGGGUUUUUAAGUCAGAGGUGAAAGCCUGGAGCUCAACUCCAGAAUUGCCUUUGAGACUGCAUCGCUUGAACGUCGGAGAGGUGAGUGGAAUUCCGAGUGUAGAGGUGAAAUUUGUAGAUAUUCGGAAGAACACCAGUGGCGAAGGCGGCUCACUGGACGACUGUUGACGCUGAGGUGCGAAAGCGUGGGGAGCAAACAGGAUUAGAUACCCCGGUAGUCCCUGUCUCUUAUAC
rnacentral:rRNA from 1 species